CCUUGUACACACCGCCCGUCAAGCCACGAAAGCCGACAGUACCCGAAGUCGUGUACCCAACCGUAAGGAGGGAAGCGCCCACGGUAAGGUCGGUGAUUGGGACU
rnacentral:rRNA from 1 species